rnacentral:rRNA from 1 species
CGGGGGACAACAUUUCGAAAGGAAUGCUAAUACCCCAUAAUGCCAUCUCUCAUAAGGGGUGAUGGUCAAAGGUGCCCAAUCCAUGGAAGGUGCCACUUGAAGAGGGGCCUGCGUACCAUUAGCUUGUUGGUGAGGUAACAGCUCACCAAGGCUCAGAUGGUUAGCUGGUCUUAGAGGAUGAUCAGCCACACUGGAACUGAGACACGGUCCAG